rnacentral:siRNA from 1 species
GGCCGAACCGACAGACAACC